CGACCGUAAACAGCGAACUUUCAAACGUGAUGUUAAAAGUGGCAGUGAUUUCGUUGCAAAAACAGUUAAUGUGGUAAAAUGGGAUUAUAAAAGAGCAACAUUAAAUAUUUCUGUAUUGUACCUCUUUGAUGGCGAAGAAACAUUUAACUUUUUAACACAGUUUUUAAGGUUCCAUCCAAGUAAAAUACUCCUUUGCUGUAGAGGAGUAUUUUAAAGCAUGCCAGGAUAAUAGUAAUUGCCCCGACAAUUCUGAAUGUAAACUCAUUCCUAAUAAUGGUUGUUCGAGUAACAAGUGUAAAUGUAACGAUGGUUUCGACGCCGUGGAUUUGCCAUUUCAAUCUGGUGGCCAAACCGUAACCGUUUGCGCAGAUCUGGGUUUUUGCAGUCCGUUCGACAAUUUUGAGAAUGACUGUGGGGUGAACGGGCAAUGCACUGUGAUUGUGGAUGAAUAUGGACGAAUUAGAGCCCCAAUUGUGAAGAAACAUCACCAGAAACAUCACCUUCGACCAAAAUGCCGGUCAUUACCACUACUAAAAAGCCAGGAAACAUCGGAGCCAUUCUUCCAAUCUUAGGGAGUGGAGUCCUUUUCCUUGCUUUAAUCGCCGGUGGGGCCGCUGCUUUAGCGUCCACGGCUGGAUAGAGGUCACACCUGUCCCUUAAUGCCACACAAAAUCGAAAUCUGGAUUUUAUUUUGCCUUUCUGUCAAAUAAAAGUCAAAUUUCAUAUUAAAAAAUGUU